rnacentral:rRNA from 1 species
GAUGAACGCUGGCGGCGUGCCUAAUACAUGCAAGUCGAGCGAACGGACGAGAAGCUUGCUUCUCUGAUGUUAGCGGCGGACGGGCGAGUAACACGUGGAUAACCUACCUCUAAGACUGGGAGAACUUCGGGAAACCGGAGCUAAUACCGGAUAAUAUUUUGAACGGCAUGGUUCAAAAGUGAAAGACGGUCUUGCUGUUACUUAUAGACGGUUCCGCGCUGCAUUAGCUAGUUGGUAAGGUAACGGCUUACCAAGGCAACGAUGCAUAGCCGACCUGAGAGGGUGAUCGGCCACACUGGAACUGAGACACGGUCCAGACUCCUACGGGAGGCAGCAGUAGGGAAUCUUCCGCAAUGGGCGAAAGCCUGACGGAGCAACGCCGCGUGAGUGAUGAAGGUCUUCGGAUCGUAAAACUCUGUUAUUAGGGAAGAACAUAUGUGUAAGUAACUGUGCACAUCUUGACGGUACCUAAUCAGAAAGCCACGGCUAACUACGUG